UAUCUUACAGUGGCAUUCGUGUAGGUCCUUCUGAGCGUUCAGUCAAUCUUGCAAAAUAGAAAUUAGAAGAUUGAUUGUAGAAGAGAUAGCAAAACAGGCUGCUCGUCCAAAGCAGAGAACUGGUCGUUACACUGUACUGUAGAAUUAACUCUACAUGCUACUUACUGAUGCACUUUUAGCUUGAUAUGAUAUGUUAAGUUAAAUGAAUGAGUCACUCACUAAUAGAGAUGAACUCCAAAACUUGUUGGUUAUUUUAAUAAAAACUAUGAAAUCAUCAGGA